rnacentral:lncRNA from 1 species
UUUUUUUUUAGGUAGGCCUCUUAAGGAAAGUUUGUUUGUUUAGUUUAUCUGUUCAUUUGUGUUAACAAAUAUUAUUUCAUGUCAACUAUUCAAAAAUCAAAAUUAUUUCAGAUGCUAAAUUAAAAAAAAAAUCAGAACUUGUUCUCUGUAAAAGCGAAUCCCUAAUCAGAGAACAACAAACUAUUCUUGCACGACCUCGAGUCAUUGUCUCGUUAUUUCAUAGAGUGUGAUUAAAUUUUAUAUAUGCUUUCCUAUAAACUUAUCAAGUACAGAAGACAACCUUGAAGCACUUUGGAGUUCACAGGACCAAAUCAAAAAUAAAGGCAAGAAAACGAAGAAGAACAAGAUUCAAGGUCAGUAUCUACAAUAGCAUAAAUAUUUUUGAGAACUCCACCAACAUCAGAUUAUCAAACAGAAGAGAUAUUGAAAAAGAGAGAGAGAGGGAGAGAGAAAAAGCAAACACAAACUGUCAUUACAAUACCAAAUUUAUAGAUAAGUUUCAAAGAAUCUGCUAUUGAGAGAUUAAAGAAACCUCUUCUGCAGAGACCAUAAGAUUUAUACUAGCACUCUCUCGAACCAGCAAUCUCUAAACCGACAUAGUUAAAAUGUAAUAUGUUUUGAAGGGAGAUUAUUAGAAACAUCGGUCAGGUAAUGAGACUAUACUGGAGGAGAGGAUCAAAGGGGUUUUUUGAGAUUACUUCCACUUCUUGAAUUUGCCUCCUCCUCCAAACAUACCAUGUUUCCCGUGCUUGCCAUGCUUUCCAUGCUUUCCGUGCUUGAAUUUGCCUCCAUGCUUUCCAUGCUUGAACUUACCAUGACCAUGACCACCAAAGCCAUGAGCAGGGCCAUGGCCAUACCCUCCAUGUCCUACAGCAUGCCCGUAAGGGUUGUGAGAGGCAUGACCAACAUGGUGAGCUCCAUAGGCUGCUGCAGCCCCUGCUAUCAUGCCUCCGAUUCCACCACUAGAAUGUCCUGAUUAAAAAACAAAAAAGUAUUACAUGGAGAACCCCAAAUUACCAGAACGGAUCAAAGAGACCACAAAGUUGUUCAUAUGAUAAUUGCUAUCGAAUUAAAAUGUACUUGUACUAGAUAGUUAAGGUUAAAACAUCAAUGUUAUCUGAAUGCCACUUCAAAAACACCUAAAAGGUUCAAUAUUUAGACCAAUAAACACCAAUGGAGCACAAAAAAAGAAUACUAAACUCAUUUGUCCGUAUCUUUCCCACAAAAAACAGGAACAAUUAAGAAACUACUGUCCUGUUAUCAUUUAAACUUGACAAAACGUAGCAGGCUGGUAAUCUAGCAAACUACAAGGCCAGUUCUUAGCUUUUAUAUAGAAAACAACAACACUUACAAACUAUUUCCCUAUUAUCAUUCAAACUGACACAGUAUUCCCAAAGGAUGACAAUCCAGAAAACUUGAAGAAAAAUCCUUAGCUUUUGCACAGAAAACAGAAACAUUUACAAACUCUUGUUCUAUUACCAUUCAAACUUAACAAUAUUUAGCAGGUUGAUAAUCCAAACAAGCUACAAAGUACACUCCAUAGCUCUUGCAUAGAAACCAUCAACAUUUACAAACCAUUUUCCUAUUAACAGCAUCAUGAUACCAAAACUACAAAGAAGAGCACUUUAACGGGAUAAUACCUGAAUGGUGAGCUCCAGGUGCAGGAUAGCCAGCAGGAGGAUAACCACCGGGUGCAGCAGGGUAUGCACCAGGAGGAUAUCCAGCAGGCGGAUAGCCUCCAGCUGGAGGAUACCCUUGUGGUGGGUAACCUUGUGGAGGAUACCCUCCUUGAGCAGGUGGGUAAUGAUGUCCUCCUCCUGGAAAACCAUGAAACCCUUUGUCAUGCUCAUCAUGAUGCUUGUCUUUACCACCUCCCAUUGUUUUUCACUUAAAACCUGCAAGAUUUAGAUACAUCAUCACCAUGGUCAAAGAUCAAGCAAACUUAACAUUUGACUUGGUCGUUUCAAAACAAAUCUGAGACAUAAUUCUCACUGAUCACAACAAUCAUACACGUUAAAGAUAUAACACAAAAAAUGGAUCCACAUACAAAAAUAUCAGAGACCAUAUUCAGCAAUUCGAUCAUACGAAUCCAGAGAAAUAGAGAAAAACAAAGCACAUAACUACAUAUGCUUCGAUCGAUCACGGUUAAUACGUAAGAUUCAAAGAUAAAAGUGCGAUCGAAAGGAAAAUUUACCGAUACGAAUUUGCGAAGAAUGUUAGAGAAUGAAUUGGAACAGAAGAACAAAAGCUUAAAUGGAGAAGAGAGGGAUAUAUAUGGAUGGAUAGGCUUGUUUCCAAAUAUUAAUUACUUAACGCGUUUACCAUUUUUGAAUAAGCAUUUUUGCCUAUUUUAUAUUUUAUUGUUUUCUAGUCCUCGUAUUAUUAUGAAAAUCAUAUGUUAAGCACUCUAGUCUUCAGAACUUCAAUCGUGUCUAAACUCCAGAUACAAUAAACAGUCACAAUAUAAGCUUCAAUACAAUUAUUUGAUCUCUUAAUGAGUAUUGUGAACUUAUGAUGCAUUGAAAAAUAGGUGUUUGUAUGGAUAUUGUGACUAUAGUGGGUGUUUAAAAACCUUAUAAAAGUAUUGGGGUUUCAAUGAAAAUAUGAAAAAUUAAAAGGUGAAGCGUAUCGUAGUAAAGAAAAUAUCUACGACGUGGGAACGCGCAAUGGACACGGAGUUUUAAGAACAUGAUUAAGGAAAAAUAUCUUUUUCUGUAAUGUAAUUAUUUAAAGUGUCUAUAAAGUCUUCAUCCUUUUAAUUUGAUAAAUUCCAAAAAAUAUUGGUGGUGAAUAAAAUAAAGAAAUGCCAAUAGAAUCUGGUCCUCCACAAAUCAUAAUUAACUUUUACUUUAUAUCUUGUAAUAUUAAUUAUUCAAACAAGGAGUGUUGAUAACUCCCAUCACAAAACUAUAUCCUAAAAGUAAUAAUAACAACAAAUCCACUAAAAAGUCAUUGUCAUCAAAUGAAAACUUUAUAACUCUGUUCUUUGUACACAUCUUUAUGCAAUAUUUGUUUUUCAUCUCUCGCAAACAAACUCAAACCAUUCAGCGUAGAGUAUAUGGCUUCAUUCUCCAUAUGACCACGUUCUCCUACAGUGAAAGUGUGAUUUUUUCCGUUCACUUGAAUCACGCUUUCACCUGGAUACUUCUUAAUGUUCCAGAGUUUCAUCAUUGAUCUGAUCCUCGCAAAACCAUCCCACAUACCAGCAGCUGCAUAUAUGUUUGACAUUUCUACAUAAGGUGCUGCCAUUUGCGGUUCCAAGUUAAAGAGACUGUCAGCCGCUUGCUCAGCUAUCUUUACAUUACGGUGGAUCUUGCAGGCACUAAGCAAUGCACCCCAUAUGCCAGCAUCGGGUUUAGCUGACAUGUUAUGGAUGAGUUCUAAUGCUUCGUCGAGCUUUCCUUUUCUUCCAAGAAGAUCUACCAUACAAGAGUAAUGGUCUAGUCCAGGACUGAUGUUGUAUACUUGUUUCAUGAUGUGGAAAUACUCCCAACCUUUUUCUAGAGAACCCGAAUGAGCACAAGCUUGAAGGACGGCAAGGAAUGUUAUGUGGUUUGGUUUAUAAUCCAAAUCUAUCAUCUUGCUGAAAAGUUCCAUAGCUUCUAGGAAGAUUCCGUUCAAAGCAUAUCCAGCUAUCAUUGUAGUCCAUGUGACCAUAGUUUUCUCAGACGUGUUAUCGAAGAUGUCUCGAGCUUCGUCUAUACUUCCACAUUUUGAGUACAUAUCAAUAAGAGCAUUGCAAACCAUGACAUUAUCUUUCUUGCAACCGUACAUAUCUGCUCUACCAUCGAUCCAUUUUCCAAUCUCCAGUGAACCAAAUUUUCCACAACCUGAAAUGAGGGAGAGUAAGGUAACUAAAUCUGGAUUCACUCCAGUUUUGGCCAUGGCAUGAAAUAAGGCCAAAGCUUCAUCCAUAUCCCCUUUCUCGGCAUACCCACUUAUCAUCACAGUCCAAGAAACACAUGUUCUGGAAGGCAUUAUGUCAAACAAAAGCCUCGCUGAACAGGAAUCCCCGGAUUUCGAAUACAUAGAAAUGAAGGUAUUAAUCGCUUCGAUAUCUUGAUCUGUACCGAGAUGGAUUGCAUGAGAAUGAAUCAAUCUUCCUUGGGUUAGUGUUUGAGGGUUUUGACACGAUGCAGCCAAGUUAAUAAAGGUGCUCAAAUCCGGCUUAAACUCAUCACGCAGCAUUAACCGGUAGUGACCAAAAGCAUCAAAUGCUUCACCAAAAACUGCAAAUGCUUUGAACACAGAGUUCCAAGACACAACAGUUCUGUCACCUCUGUCAAUAGCUUCGAAAACUAACUUUGCUGAAUCCAAAUCACCACAUUUCCCAUAAGCAGAAAUCCAAGUAUUGGAAACUGUAGCUUGUAAAUCUACACCUAAACGUAUCCCAAAAGCAUGCAUGACCUUCAAAAGCUUCAAACUUUUUUCAAACGAUGCAGAUUGAAUCAAGGUCAUAACAGUCACAGAAUCAGGUGGGAUCUCGUCGAGCCUCAUUUCACGAAAUAAUGAAAACACCUUAUCCGUGUGACCCGACUGACAGAAUCCAGAUAGCAUUGCGUUCCAAGUGGUAGCAUCUCUCACAGGCAUUCUCUCAAACACCUUGGCGGCAUAAUCCAGAGAAUCACAUUUUACAAACAUAUCAACCGUCGCUGUCCCAACGAAAACAUCAGACCAAAACGGAGACUUUAUCAAAUGGGUAUGAACCAUCUCACAGUACCCAAUAUAAGCGAGCCUAGCACACGCCUUCGCCACAAAUGGAAAAGUAAAGUUGUUCGGUUCAAAGCCUCCACGCUUCAUUUCUCGAAACAGAAGAAGUGAUUCCACCGGAUCAUUUCGAUUAACCGCUUCACGUACUUGAAAGUUCCAAGCAUUAACAGACGACAAUCCAGGAAAACACUUUAACCGUCGGUGAAUCAAGGACAUGGAUUCUCUCUCCCUUUGUCUCCAAAUGACUCCGGCGGGAAAGCAACAAUUAUAAAACGCACCGUUUAUUCGUUGUUAAUCGUUUUUUGGCUUUAUUGCUCCCACGUGGCUAACUGGCUUGUCACGUGAUCAAAUUAUAAACAGUCAUAGGCUCAUUUAAGCUUCAAAAAGACCAAAAUAUACAACGACAAAAAAACCAAUCGUACAUAUCUCGCAAUCUCAUUCAGACCGGAACCAUGACUCUUGGUACAGGACAAUUGACAUAGCAUAGACUCACUUUCUCCUUCUGUUAGUGCUGUAUCGAUACUUACGAGAUUCUUCUUCCGAUGAUAACUCAUGCUUCUGCAGCUUCUUUCUACUUCUACGGUUUGAUUCCGAAUCAGAUUCUGCAUUCUUCUUGCUUCUGUAUCUGUCAGAAAACUCUUCAGGAUCUUCAUACACAUGCUUUUCUUUCCCCUUCACACUCCUGUGAUGCCUCUCAGAAUCACGAUCAUCAUAUCUCGGUUUCCUCUCGGAUCUAUGACGAUUUUCAGACUCCAUAUCGACGUAUCUGUGUCUUCUCUCAUCAUAUCUAUGCUCUUUCUCGACUCUAUGACGCUUUCCAGACUCUGAAUAAUACUGUUUCUGACUUUUCUCUGAAACAGGAUCGUUACUAUGCACUUGCUUUCUCUCCCUGUGAUGGCUUUUGUAAUCAUCUUCUGAUCUUUUCUUUCUACUACUAUGACUUCUAUAAUAAUCUGAAUCAUCGGAUGAAGCAGAUGGUCUAUCCACGAUUUCCUUCCGUUUCUGGUGCUUCUCGUCAUCGUAAUGCUUUUCUCUGUGAAUGUUCCCUUGGUGGUAAACCUCAGAUUUUAAUGUUGCAGACGGAUCUACAUGCUUGGUGUGUCUUCUCCUACUCAGACGGUAACUGUCAGAGUCUGAACCUUCAGAGGAGACUGAGUCAGAAUCAUAAUGCUUCUUGCUCUUGUUCUUAAGUUUCUUGCGCUUCUUCGAUCCCCUCUUCUCUCUACUAUCUUCUGAGCCUGUUGAAGAUUCAUCAGUUUCCUCAAUAGUCCGAGAUGAAUGCUUCUUGUGCUUUUUGUUCUUUUUGGAUUUUCUUUUCUUAUCCGACGACAUACUCUUCAGUAAUUCGAUUGGGAUGCUGCCCUCAAGGAACCCUGAGAUAUCAAAAGAAAUUGACAUUAAGUAACAAUAUAAAAAAUGAGAUGGGAUUUGUGAAAAGAAAAACCUUUCUGAAUUAAGAAAUUCACCUCCAUAUUCAUCAAAUAUAUCUUCAGCGACGAUUUGUUGAUUUGGAUCAUCAGGAUCAAAACCACCACGAGGAGGACUCAAGCCGGACUUUUGUUUCAACUCCCACUUCAGAGGCUGCAAAAAGUUAGAGAGCAUUUCCGGUUAAUGAUACAUAAACCAUUGAACCUUCAGUUGUCCAUACCUAAGCCAACUAAUUAACGAAAGAUUCUGAAAGAUGGGGAAUUAAGAGAAAUUAAAACCAACCUCACUGGGAUCUGUAUGUGCAAUGAUAGCAGUCAACGGAUCAUCUCUUUUCAAUCGAAGUUCUUCAUUUGGCAUUACUGCAUCCUUUAAUGGACAGUCACGAUCACCGCUUUGAUGCCCAAAGUUUCCACAUCUCAGACAUUUCACAUUACGCACUUCAACUGCAAAUGGCUUUACUCGCCCAGGAAUACCAGUCUCCAUCCUGCACAAUUCCAAUCAUAGUAUGUGAUGAGAAAAAUUUCAUUUACAUGUUGCAAUAUUUCCACAAUGACACUGGAGCACUUAAUGAUUACUUAAUGAUUAACAUAAUUGCAAGAGUAAAAAAAUAUGGCAAUACCUUGGUGCAUUUUUAAGGACCUCAAAUUCUUCUUCAGUAGGAAGAGCACGCCCAAACACAUCUUUGGGUCGUGGUUUCUUCCUUUCCUGACCUGUGCGGUCUCCCCCGCCUUGUGAUUCUUCUGGUCUGCAUUGCGCCAGAGAGAAAACAAAUUCUUGUCAAAUUUCCCCCACAAGGAAUUAACUUAAUAUCAUCCUAGCAAUAAUCUGUCAAACCAAAUAUCUGUUUCUGUCAACAUACCUAGAACCAACAUUGUCUUCCGCCAUUGGAUCCUGAGUUGAAGAACCCUGACCCUUGUGUUUAUCAUCCGCGUAUUCUGCUGCUUUGGCACUUUCAGGAUCAUAGCCAGGUGGACGAACAUACAUAAAGCUCACAGCUUUCAUCGUUUCGAUCUGCCCAUUACUCUCAGGGUCAAUAUCAUGUAACACAAAACUAAGUAAAAUCGCUAGUUUCACCAAAUUUCAAUAAUUGUAUAGGUUUUGACAUCUACCUCAGGAUCAAAAGAGUUCCAAGAGUUAAGACAAUAUUUCAAAAGGAUUGUGAUUGAUGAGAGUCAGCAACAAGUGGAUAUUACAAUUCAGUCUAAAUAUCCGAAACUAUCCUCAUCAGAAUACAGAAACACUAAUCUGAAGCAUUAGGGCACUAGUGAACGAAGUUGUACAGAGAAUUAGAGCUCAAAGCAAGAUCUGAAUAACAUAAACCCUAAUCUGGCUGAGAAAAGAACUAACCUUCUCUCUUUCUUUCUUGGAGAUGAGAGCUGCUUGCUUGAAGAAUUCCUGCUCUUGCGCAAACUGUAAAUCCAGAAAAAAAGGAAGUAAGAAAAACACGAAUUGAAUCAAUUAAGAGAAAAUGGAGAGCAUGUGCGAUGAUGUACCUCGCGGGCCACUUCUUCGGCUCUGCGAUCGUGUUGGGCAUGAGUCUGCUCGGCGAUCCAUUUGCGGCGCUGAUUGGGAUAAGAAAGCGGAUGCCAUGGCUUCUGGUUCAGGAAAGAGUGGCUCCAAGCGGUACCGGAUUUGGUCUUGUAAUCAACUUCUAAGCUACCGCCGGUGACCUUCCCGCCGGCGAAUCUCUUGCUCAGCCGUAUUCCGCUUCCUUCCCCUUCGCCGUCCAUGUCCCGAUGUGAAAAUUACCCAAUGCCUCCGAUGUGAAAAAAAGUGUUCGCUUAUGCCACCGUUAUAAAAGUUAUUUCUUUUUUCUUUUUCUUUCUAUCGAAAAGGUAGCAAAAAUACUUUGAAACCCUUGAUAAGUUCCAAUAAUUACUGACCCAACCAUCCUUUUUUGGAUUAUCGACCCAAACCAACUAAAAUAUGGGUCAACCACCCAGAUCUAAAUCCAUUCACAUCUUUUAUCUACUUAAAUAAAUUUAAAACUUAAAAAUAGCAAGGCACGUAUUCUUCUCUUCUUCUUCUCUGUGUUUUUUUCUCUUUUUUUUUUUUAUUGUCAAAAAUUUUCUAUAUUCUUUAAACACACAAAUCUUACUAAAACUCCUUCAAUGUAUAAACUUCGGCACACAUCCCGCUUCCGAACACAGAUCCACAUUACUCCAAAUCAUCGGAAUCAUACCAGCUCUCGCCAGCUCCGAUCUAUGGCCAAAUCAAGGUUUCUACGUCUAAAUCCAUGAUUCUCUCAACUCCACCUAUGUCUCCCUUUCUCUGAACGCGCUAUAGAUCUCAUGCUCAGCAACAGUCUCUAGCUUGAUCCCAUCCUUGAGUCCUUCGAAUUCGCUACGCCGGAGCUAUUCUUGUCGUGGUUCUUUCACCAGCGGCUCUACCCAAGAGAUAUUUAGCUCUUUGAGUUUAUUCUCUUCGUUUUGAUUUCAUAUCAAAGGCUUUGAAACAAAACGAAGUGGAUUUUUCUGAGCUUUUGUACCUCGUCACCUUGGACGCUCCGGUCAGUUUUCCCGUCCAAUGAGCCCCAAUCGUUUAGAUAAGUUGUAGUCGUGGAAGAGAUAGCGGGAUGGUGAUUCAGUACAUUGUUGCGUUUUAUGAAACUUUUGCUUCACGGAUUAGCAAACUCAGCCGCUCUUGAAGCCAAGGCCGUGAAGAGAUCAUUAAAAAACAGAGAAUUGGCUCCCACAAGUGAUGAAGAAAGACUCUUGAAAACCAAAAUGAACGAUUUAUACAAAGAUCGAAACCUCCAUUCUCAGAACUAAAACAGAGAUCAAUAAUAGUCACAAGUCAAGCGUAUUUACUAAAAUAACUUUCAUGUAUGCAACUAGUUUUGUAGAUACAAUUGGUAUAUCUAGGUACAACUACGUUUCUAGGUUACAUACAAGAAAGUAAUGAUUUUUGGUCCAAUUGGUACAUUUAAGUAUAACUACGUGUGUAAAAAAAUUGCAAAAAUAAAAUAAAAUUGGAUUAUAAAUCUCCACCGAAAAACUAAAAAAAAAAAUAGAGGAAUUAAGAGAAAUUUCAAAAAUUUUUAACUUUUGAAAAGUAUCCAAAGAGAUCCCACGUGUGGUAAAGCGGAUUUUUGGCGGCGGGAUAUUAAUACAAUAUUGUGUGUUAUAAUCAUAGUUGUCCCUAUAUUUACAGUUGUACGUUCAUCCACAUAGUUGUACUUUGAUAAUUUUUGCGUAUUUUUAGUUGGACCUAGAUAUACAUUAUUAUGUUGUAGUUGGUCAAAUAAUUUUUUUCCAUUAAUUAUCAUUUAUGAGGUUUUCAUAGUACAAUUUGCACAAAAUCAUAGUUUUCACAACUUAUUAAUAUCUUUGGCGGCGGGAUAUUAAUAAAAUAUUGUGUGUUAUAAUCAUAGUUGUCCCUAUAUGUACAGUUGUACGUUCAUCCACAUAGUUGUACUUUGAUAAUUUUUGCGUAUUUUUAGUUGGACCUAGAUAUACAUUAUUAUGUUGUAGUUGGUCUUAUAAUUUUUUUCCAUUAAUUAUCAUUUAUGAGGUUUUCAUAGUAAAAUUUGCACAAAAUCAUAGUUUUCACAACUUUUGUAUUAUAGAGAGGGACCACUUACAAAGUCUUCCUUACAAUAUAAGAAGUGUUUUAUGUGAAAACAAGAAUAUGUAUUAAAAAAAUUAUAAAUUUAUAUUUUAUUGAUUUAAAUUUGUUUUUUUACAUUUCAAGAUACGUUUGGUAUCCUCAUUGUUUCAUUAAAAUAAAAUAAAAUAAAACAUAAUUACGAAUUACACAAAAUGUUACAGUUGUAUCAUUUGUACCAGUUGUCCUAUUAUUUUUUAGUUAUACUAUUCAUCAUAUGUCUGAUUCUAAUCUGAUCAGAAGAAGUGACGACCAGCGAGAUAGGCGGGCGAGCUGAGCUCGGGUUUAUGAGGAGAAGCAGAACGGAGCAAAGAAGAGAUGUCUUUCUCUUAUAAUGCCAAAAAGGAAAAAACCAUGAUUUCGUGAAAAUAGUAUUACUAAAACCUUCUAAAUGAUAACUAAAAGUAGAAAAUCUCGUGGUCAACUACAACAUAAAAAUUUAUAUUAAGGUACAACUACAAAUACGUAAAAAUCGUCAAAGUACAACUAUGAAGAUAAACGUACGUGCAACUGUAAUUAUAAUACAUAAAUUUUAUUAAUAUUUUAUCGUGUCAGGCCGACUUUAUUAUAUGUGGGACCACUUUAAUUUAUAUAUAUAUAUAUAUAUAUAUAUAUAUAUAUAUAUAUAUAUAUAUAUAUAUAUAUAUAUAUAUAUAUUCUUGUUUUACUUUGUUUUGAAUUAAAUAUAUUGAUAUAUUUCAUUAAAGGUAAUUGAGGAAUUUCAUAUUAUGAGUGGCAUUCAGAUUAAUGAAUGGCAGGCGAGAUCAUUUUUUCUGAAUUUGUGGCAUAACUGACGCUUUCCCCUCCGAUGUUGGGCUUUUUGGUUAUUUAAAUACUCUUCGUAAUAAUUUAAUUACUCCUUCCGCUUCUUUAGAAUUUCAAUUUGUAAACUUUUGUAUUUAAAAAAAACAUUUAAUUUACCCUGUAUAUUUUGCAAUUGUGAUUAAUUAUUUCUUUUGUUUAUUUGUAAACUUUAAUUAUAUUUUCAGUCAAAUGAUUAUUCAAAUAUAUAUAUAUAUAUAUAUAUAUAUAUGAAAAUUCAAAAUUUAUUAUUAUUGUCCGAAAAUUUAAUUUUAUUAUACCAAUCGUCUCUGCCGCAUCCAGAAGUUUUAUAUGAGGUUCAGUUUUGGCCAUUACUUGUUGGGUUAUGAAGUCUUGGUUACUUGGUUUCGAGAGAUCAUCCCUCGUUGUUAUAGGAAAAAAGAAAUAUUAUCGAUUGGUUGGCUGUGGACAGUAUUGGUAAAUAACAUUCACAGUUUCUUUGAAAGAAAGGAUCUUCUUUAAUGAUUGUGUCAAGUAUUUUUCUUCGGGUUUAAAUUUGUGUACUUCCUUAAUUUUUGGUUUCAAUUUCUCAAUUUCAGCUUUAAAAUUUCUGUUUUGUAAUGUAUUCAUGUUUCUCUUAUAUAUUUUUUUUUGACAAUUGACAAUAUUCAUGCUUCUCUUAUAUAGAGCUUAGUUUUUGGGGAAUACACACGUUUUCCUCUAGUUUAGUUUUCGAUAAUUCUUCUUUCGUACGUCGGUUUAAUUUUCAUUGUUUGAGAUUUGUAUUUUAUCUUGGUUCAGAGACAAAUUUCAAUAAUAAAAUUUGAGAUGAUCAAAAAAUUAUGCGGAAUUGAUUGAUAUGCCUAAGGGGGUGUUAUUGGUUUGUGAUUUAAAUAGAGUUUUAAUGACUUUAAUUGUUAUGUAGAAUCUGUUGUUAUUCAAUCAAGAUUUUGUUAAACUCUCUUAAAGUUUGGUGUUAUUAGUUUGUGAUUUGUAAAAAGUCAUUUAAAAUCUUAAUGAAUAUUAUGUUAUUGGAUUAAGAGUUUUAUAAAGUCAUUAAAAGUUUUGUGUUAUUCAACUAAAACAAAACAAUCUAUGACAAUCUAUAAUUGUUAAUGAAUUCAAUUAUUGUGUUAUUGGUUUAUGAUUUUAAAUACUUUUCUUUACAAAAUAAAGUCAUGAAAAGUAUGCUGAAAUAUUGAGAUUGUUUGGGAGACUCUACAAGAUUAUAGAAAAACUAAUCAACAGAACUAUAGAAAACUCUCUAACAAUUCUUCUAAAUCAUUCACUUAUUCACUUUCUAUGAUUUUAUUAAAGUCAUCAAAACUCUAUUUAAAUCACAAAUCAAUAACACCCUCUAAAUUAGGCAGCCUAUUGCCAUAACCAAAUUUAAUAAUACACGAAUAUAAAAUAUCUAGAAUGGUACAGGCUCAAAUCAAAGUAGAUCGAUUUGAAAGAAAAUAGAAAAAAAUCUCAUAAAAUUGUAUAAAAAUUGAAGAAAUUUUGCACAGAACCUAUAGAAAAGACUCGACAAAUAGAAGAAGGAGAUUCGUUGCUGACGAAGUAAAGGAUCUCACUUUUUUGGUCUUCGCUUCAUCUAAAGGAUCUCACUUUUUUGGUCUUCGCUUCAUCUAUAACUUAUAACAAGUCAGAGAGAGAGUAGUGAGACGGGCCGAGUAAAUCGGAAAGAUGACGGCGCCGAUGAUCCUGAGCGGAGGCGGAUCGGCGGCGGAGAGAGACGCUCGGAUGGCGCACACUGCCAUGGCGUUUGUUCAGCUCUUUAAUGGCGGAUACCAUGUGAUUACAAAAGUAGCUCUCAACGUUGGAGUCAACCAGCUUGUCUUCUGUGUAUGCCGUGAUCUUCUUGCUCUCUCUAUUCUCGCUCCUCUUGCUUACUUCCGCGAAAGGUAUCAUCUUUUUCAACUUCAUUUGUUUCCUCUGUUUUUAGUUCUGAGUUACGCUCUCGAGAAUGGUUUCCUGGUUUUAUGAUCGAUUUGUGGGUUUAUAUGAAGUGAGAACUAUACAGCCCCCUUGUUAUUGCUUGAUCCAUUAGUAUGGAUUUUUGGAUUUUGAUUUAGCGUUUCUCUCUGAUGAAUUUGUAUAAGUUCUUCUGGGUAUUAAAAGUCAAUGUCAUCUUCAUAGUAGAAGAACUAGAUUUCAGAUUUGGAGCAAUGUGUGUAGAUUUAAGUUGAGAUUUGUGUUCCGUUUUGCUUCCACUGUUAGUAGAUUUAGUUACCAUGUUCUCUGAGUUCCAUGUCUCUUCUUCGGGGUUUUACGAGAUAAGUACAUUUGAACUAGGAUCUGGUUUCUCGAGCUAGGCUUGUCUAGUUCUAUCAGUAAAUGAAAGAAUGGUGUGGGAGGUUGUAAUGCGUCAAGUUUAUGCGAGACCACUUUGAAUGUUCUCAAGUUUUCAAAAUCUAAUCAAUGAACCGUGUUCGUCGUUCAUGUAUGUAGAAGGAUCAGAACUCCAAUGAAUAAAAGCCUUCUCUUGUCAUUCUUCUUUCUGGGCUUAGCAGGGUAAGAAAUCAUCUCUAUCCGGUCUAAGUAUCUUGUAUUCAUGUUUAUGAAGAUUAAACAUCUUGGUUGAUCUCAAUUUUGAUAGGGUAUUUGGGAACCAAUUGUUAUUUCUUAUCGGUCUUACAUACACAAAUCCAACUUAUGCUGCUGCCAUUCAACCAUCCAUCCCGGUCUUUACUUUUCUCUUGGCUGUAAUGAUGGGGUGAGUAUGAUUCUUUUUUAGAGUUAUCCUCUUAGAUGUGCCUUCACUUUUGGUUUUUUUGAUGUCUCCUACUUUGUAUGCAGUACAGAAAGAGUGAAUUUGUUGAGAAUCGAAGGUCAAACUAAGGUUGGAGGCACACUUGUGUGUGUUAUGGGUGCUGUCUUUAUGGUUCUAUUUCGAGGUCCGGCCUUGUUAGGAGAUAAAGAUGCAGACUUUGCGAUGAACAAUGAAAUCAGUGCUAAAGGUCAACCUGAGCCUACUGGGUGGUUAGUCUCUGGUUUUCUCGAUCUUGGAUUUGAGACAUGGCACAUUGGAGUUUUAUGCUUGAUUGGAAACUGCAUGUGUAUGGCUACUUUUCUUGCCAUUCAGGUAGAUCUCUUCAUUGUUUCGGUUUCUUUGGUUUGGUUUAGACCAACGCAUAAACUGCAGCCUACUAACCUCUGUGCAUGUGUCUUUUAAUGUGGAUGUAAUGGAAACUCUCCAGGCGCCACUUUUGAAGAAGUAUCCGGCAAAUCUUUCUGUUGCUGCAUUAUCAUACUUCUUUGGUACAGUACUAAUGUGCACAACAGCUUUCUUUAUGGUAAAGGAGCCAUUGGAUUGGAGGCUAACACAAUCUGAGGUUCUUGCAGUUAUAUAUGCAGUAAGUUGCAUCAAGGUUUUUUUUCAUCUACUCACGUCACAUGUUUCUCGCGUAAUCAUUGACACAAUUCAUCUGGUUUUCCUUCUCUCUAGGGAGUUAUCGCGUCAGCACUAAACUAUGGACUCUUGACUUGGUCCAAUAAGAUUAUUGGUCCUGCCUUGGUUGCUCUCUACAAUCCUCUUCAGCCCGCUGCAUCAGCUUUCCUAUCGAGAAUCUUUCUCGGUAGCCCUAUUUAUCUCGGAAGGUUAAAUACAUUUUCUGGAAUCUUUUUUAACCAUCCACAUUCUCACUUCCAAGUUUAAUACUUUCGGUUUCUUUUCCUCCGUGCAGUGUUGUGGGUGGAUUCUUCAUCAUUCUAGGACUCUAUAUGGUCACUUGGGCAUCGUUUAGAGAGCGAAAAACAGCGGGUUCCGGGAUUGGGAUUGCGUCUCAUGGUCUAAAAACCUCAGAGCCUCUGAUAUUUAAUGGGACAGUUAACAGACUAGGACAGUUGUUUUCUGGAUUACCCAGUUCCUCUGUGAAAUCUGCAGACUAAAGAAACCAAAAGAAGUUAAGAUUGAGACCAGAACCCAUUACAGCUAUUAUACAUUUUGUUAACUUUCAUCUCUUAUUAAUAUCUUCUUUGAUUACCUUAAUAUUAAUCACAGAUUCACAGUGUUGCUCCAUUUAAUCUUGAAAUAUACAUCUAAUUCGUAUUCGUUUUAGAUCAUCUAACAUUUUAUCUGACCUUUGAAUUUUUUUUAGCAAUAGAUAACAUUCUGUGCAAGAUAUAUAUUGUCUACACUAUAUGAUAUACAGUUAUAACUUUUUGUAAAAUCUUAGGUUUAAGGAGGAUCUCAUAAAGUUGGAAAAAGCAAUCGAAGAAAAAGCUGUGGCUUAUUUGGUAAGAACACAUAACAAUAGUGGCAAAUGUACGAAUUCAAAAAAGAAGUUGGUUUUAUCCCAAUUUAGAUCACUUUUUCGAGGAAAAAAAAAACGUGGAACUUUUUUCCUUUUUUUUGGCAACCAAAAAAAAAACAUGGGUUACAAUAUUGUAAAGAUAUUCAACAGUUUUGAUAAAUGUUGUCGACGACACACCAUUAGCAUUUUAAUAUCGGCGCCAUUAGCAUUUUUCUUACCAACAAAUAGCCGAAUUUUUUAGAUUAUGAAGAAAGAAAGAAAGAAACUUAUUUCAUUUACGUUUCAACCCCAAACGUUUUCAAAUAUUCUUAAUUUUCCCCAAGAAAUUGAAAAUUGAGCAAGACGUUUUCUGUUAGAAGAGAGAAAAAGAAAUCAGAGGACAAAAAGGCAAAGAGGUCUUUUCUUCACAAAACGGAUCUCUCCAACGUCUUCGUCUUCCUCUGGUCUGAGUCGUGUGGUUUUAGCCCCGAUACUCAUCAGAUCUGCUUGAGAUUCUCGAUUUUUCUUAUACGAAGAAGACGAUUCGUUUAUUAACUCAUGCUUCUUAGACGCAGAGCGAGAUACGAGAUCUAAGUGCUGAUGAAGCUUUGACGGUGGUUGAAGUUUGUUCUUCGUUCUAUGCCAAUGCGUGUUUCUGGUAUUGUACCCUAGCUUUUCAAUUUUAUGAUUGAGUCGUUGUGUUGUUAUCGCAAUGUCGAUUUAACUACAGAUCGCUGUUGUGAUUGUGUUUAUUGAUUUGUGAAUCACUCAAGCUCUCUUCUUAGAUUUUUGAUUGAGCACAUAGAUUGUUUAUUUUCGUGUCGAAUGCAUUUGAUUUGAUUUUUGUAGUUAACAUUUUCUGCAGAAGAAUGAAGAAUCUGAAGAGUUUGUUGUGCUUCUGCAUUUGAUUCUAAAGACAACGGAGAAGGUUGGGUUGAGUUUGUUAGUUUUCUUUUAAGUAAAGCAGUGUGAAGUUUAUGUAGGCAAGAGACAUGGUUUUUGGUAGGAUUACUGAACUUUUUACUGCUGCAUCGAGUCGAUUUUCAGCGGGUUCGCAAUCAUCUGUUCCGUAUAUGCCUACUGGAUCAUCACCGGAUGUAGGAACUUCAGCGGCGGAUUCCAUCAGUAUUGGGAAUGGUGGACGAAAGAAUAGUUUGAAACAUUCAGCGUCUCUCCAAGAUUUUUCUUCAUAUCAUGGGUUUGAUCCUGAAGAAUCCAUUCUUGCUCGGGAAGCUGAUUUAAGCGCUAAACGACAAACUAUAUCAUGGGGACUAAAUGGAUCAAGUUUUUCCAAGGAAAAGGGGAGUGUCCCGAAUGGGACCAAUCCAUCUACACGCCGUAAAUGGAUCCGCGCGGUUAUGAUUGUUUUGUGCCUGUUUUUGUUUGCUUUUCUGGUGUAUAUAGCCUCCAUGUAUAUUUAUACAAACUGGUCACGGGGAGCAUCAAGAUAUUAUGUUGUGUUCGACUGUGGAAGUACUGGGACUCGUGCAUAUGUUUAUCAGGCUUCUAUAAACUACAAGAAAGAUAGUAGUCUCCCCAUUGUUAUGAAAUCUUUGACAGAAGGUAUUUCUAGAAAGAGUAAGGGUCGUGCUUAUGAUCGGAUGGAGACAGAACCUGGGUUUGAUAAGCUUGUCAACAACAGAACAGGCCUGAAAACUGCGAUAAAACCCCUUAUUCAGUGGGCAGAGAAGCAAAUCCCGAAGCAUGCUCAUAGAACCACAUCUCUCUUUGUUUAUGCAACAGCGGGCGUCCGGAGGCUUCGUCCUUCUGAUUCAAGCUGGAUUUUAGGUAAUGUGUGGUCUAUACUAGCGAAGUCUCCCUUCACUUGCCGGAGGGAGUGGGUUAAGAUCAUCAGUGGUACAGAGGAAGCUUAUUUUGGAUGGACCGCCCUUAACUACCAAACAAGCAUGUUGGGAGCCCUACCAAAGAAGGCAACAUUUGGUGCCCUUGACUUAGGUGGCUCAUCAUUGCAGGUAACCUUUGAGAAUGAGGAGCGGACACAUAAUGAGACCAACCUAAAUCUCAGAAUCGGGUCUGUUAACCAUCAUCUUAGUGCAUAUUCUCUUGCCGGAUAUGGUCUUAAUGAUGCGUUUGAAAGGUCUGUUGUUCAUCUUUUAAAGAGGCUACCAAAUGUCAAUAAAUCUGAUUUGAUUGAAGGAAAAUUGGAAAUGAAACAUCCUUGCUUAAAUUCUGGAUACAAUGGACAGUACAUAUGUUCUCAAUGUGCUUCCAGUGUCCAAGGAGGUAAGAAAGGGAAGUCAGGAGUUCCUAUUAAGCUCGUUGGUGCUCCAAAUUGGGGAGAGUGCAGCGCACUGGCAAAAAAUGCUGUUAAUAGCUCUGAAUGGUCAAACACAAAACAUGGAGUUGAUUGUGAUUUGCAGCCUUGUGCUCUUCCUGAUGGUUACCCUCGUCCUCAUGGUCAGUUCUAUGCUGUAUCCGGAUUCUUCGUGGUGUACCGUUUUUUCAACUUAAGUGCUGAAGCUUCCCUUGAUGAUGUCUUGGAAAAGGGUAGGGAAUUUUGUGAAAAGGCUUGGCAAGUAGCCAGAACCAGUGUUUCUCCACAACCCUUCAUUGAACAGUACUGCUUUAGAGCGCCAUACAUAGUCUCCUUGUUACGCGAAGGUUUAUAUAUUACAGAUAAGCAAAUCAUAAUUGGGUCUGGGAGUAUAACUUGGACACUUGGAGUAGCUCUUUUGGAAGCAGGGAAGGCUUUAUCUUCUACAUUGGGACUAAAGAGCUAUGAGAUUCUGAGCAUGAAAAUAAACCCAAUUGCCCUUAUAUCUAUCUUGCUCUUCUCAUUUCUUCUGCUUCUCUGUGCACUAUCACGCGUCAGCAAUUGUUUGCCAAGAUUCUUUAGAAAGUCGUAUCUCCCACUUUUUAGACACAAUAGCGCCUCAGCUUCGUCUGUUCUUAAUAUCCCGUCUCCCUUCAGAUUCCAGCGAUGGAGUCCUAUGAGUACAGGUAACUCACUAUGCAUAAUCUUGAGUUAUGGCCAGUUCUUCACAUUGUCUUUAUUCUCAGUUGUUAACAUUGUCUAUCUUGUGUCUUUUUUUCUGGGAAGAUAUAUAGUCUUAAUAGUUUUUUUUUUUUUUUUUUUUUCUUUCAGGGGUAAAGACACCAUUGAGUCCAACAGUUCGGGGAUCACCGCGUAGGCCAUUUAGUUUUGGAAGCAGCAUACAGCUCAUGGAAUCUUCUUCAUUGUACUCAUCGAGCAGCUGCGUUAUGCAUAGUUGUUCUUCUGAUAGCUUAGGGGAUAUGCAAUAUGACAGCACUAGUUCCUUCUGGUCCUCCCCUCGCAGGAGUCAAAUGCGUCUCCAAAGCCGGAGAUCGCAAUCUCGAGAAGAUCUUAGUUCGUCACUCGCUGAUUCACACAUGCUCAAGAUGUAGGAGAAGAAUUUUUUGGUACGGCUUUUGUCACUUCCACACCCUCCUAAUUUUUCUCUUUUUUUUUGGUCAUGAGAAUCAUAGUAUAAAAAAAAAAAGGGGAAAAUUUCAUGAGCAAAAUUUCCUUGUUUCAGUUGACAUGUAAUUCUUUUUAUACCAUAUACUUAUAUAUGAUUACUAAUUUAACCUCAGUUCAACUAUCUAUCACUCUCUUCCUCUUUACCCUUCUUGUAUUUCUCCAAAUUCUUUCUUUUUACAGAGCCGGUCCAAAGUUUCUUGGGUUUUGAGCAGCUACAAAGGGAAGAAUCGACUCCCAGAUUGAGAAUAAACCCUGUACGUGCUUAUUUUCUGCUCCUUGCUUCGUAAUUCUUAUCAUCAUAUCUAAAGGAAGACAAAAAGUAGAAUCUAUUAUGUGCUUGGACUUCAUUUCAUUGCAACAUUCGAGGCUAAAAGUGUCAUUGUCAUUUACCAUAGAAAUUGGAAAAUAUCUAAUAUCAACAAUUUCCUUAUGUUAGAUUGUAGAGCUCAAAUCCUUUGGGGACCAUUGUGUGUGGUUGGCAUUUAGAUAAACAGAGCAAUCAUAGUAACUAUCACCUGAACAAUGACUUUAUCUUCCUAUGGAUCAUAUUUCAAAUAUAUGGUUUAGAUUUUUGUAUAUUGGUCGAAUGCUUAGAUUGAUUAAACCACUCCUAAUGUUUAACUUGUGGUAAUGGGUUCACUGUUCAGUUCAUAAAAUAUGAUAACCUAAUGAAAAUGUUUAUCCUAAUGAUCUCUAUUUCAAUAGGUUUGGUCAAUUUGUACAGAUUGCUUCUUGUUUUUAGUCGCAUCGAUCGUUAAACUUUUUUUGCCUAACUGGUCUAGCGAAAAUAGAUCUAGAGGAUAGGUAAUUGGUUCUUAAGACUCGAUUACCUAGUAAAACAUUUGGUCGGAUCGAUUCGAAAUAUGUGACGAAACAAACAAGUCUGUCUCAAUAGUUUUCAUUGCCAUAAAUGUCAAAUAUUGUUUUUUUCAUAAGUCUCAACCAUCACGUGAAACUUGAUCACAAAAUUUGGACAGACAUUUCUUUAAAUAAAUGUAAAUAAUUGCAUCCUUUGGUCUCAAAACGAAAGGAUAAAUCAACAUCUAUGUCAGUGUUACUCUCCGUAUCGGUCACUCUCGUUCGUUUAUUGCUUUGGCCACUCGUUUGCUUUGAUCCCACUCCACCCAACAAAAUCAUUCACAAUAAUUUCAAGGUUUGCAUAAUACUACUACUUGUUUUAAGAGGUUGCAUUUUUAAAGGUCGUUGUAUUUGCUAUAAAUGACGUUGGGCCAUAUCCAUAUCCAGACCUCAUGUUUUGCUCAAAAUAAUGAUGUUUCGUUGGUCCCAUCACUAAAACACAAUCUUUUUCACGUUCCUAAUUUAUUUAUCUAAACCACAAAUCCUUUUUUUGUGCAUUAAUUUGCUUUAUCCAUUAACUGAUCUUUCAUAUUUCGACUGAUAGGUGUUUCAUAAUUUUAUUAUAUCACGAACAUUGUAUUCAGUUUUUAUGCUUAAGAAACAACAUUGGUACAUGCCACAUUGUCAUAUUCGAGUAAUUAAAACCUAGAUUUUUCAUAUUUGUAUUUUCAAUACAAUAUACAUAUUCCAGUUUUGUUCUUUUAAAGAUAAUAUGAAAUAUAAAAAUAUAGUUGUUAGGUUUUAUAAGAUCUGAUAACUCUCGGAAUGAAAUUAUAGAAUGAAUAUUUAUAAGAUUUGUAGCCAAGAACAGAAGCAGAAUAUUUGAAAGAAAAAAUAAUAUUUAUAAGCUUUGGUAUGUUUUAUAUACAUCGACCACCACCAAACUAAUGUAGACUUUAAUGUAUAAAUGCAACAACACUAUGCGUUUUGUUUUGUUGUACGGAACGUAAUUAAGAACUUAAUUAUUCCACUAACUAUUGCAGUUACCUAUAGUUAGGUCACUCUCCUUCACAAAUAACCCAUGGAAUCCGUACGGAACCCUUCGCGGUAGCCUCACGGCGGCGACGAUUUCAAGCUCCGGCGAUUUCGCGUCCAUCACCAGAAAGUUCGAUUCUCCAGUCACUUCAUCGUGAACAUACGUCACCACGUAACCAUCAUCCUCCUCCGCCUCCGGAUUCCCAGGAUCCCUAGCUACGAAAAACGGUUCACCACCGUAACAACCUUUACCGUACAUUCUACGCGCCACCGUACAAUCAUCCCGAUCUCCUUUAGACACAUCAAGCUUCACCACUCCGGAGAUUUUUGGCAUCGGAUCUCCAAUCGCCGCGUAAACGUACCUGCUCUGUCUCCCAAGAAACGCCGGAUUAAUAACCGCGAAAUCGAGAUUCCUCGCUGAAAUCGGAUGACGUGUCACAAUUCCGGUGACGAGAUCGAUCUUCACCUUCUCCACCAAAGCGUGAACCAAAUCCAUCCUCUCUAAAGUAUGUUCAAUCGACAUAAUAUUCGGAGCGAUCAAAACGACGGAGUUUCCAUCGUCUUCAUCCCAAGCAUUAAUGGCGUGAAUGAUAUUAAAUCCAGGAACUUCGAACCAUUUCAUCUCCGAUUCAUCUCCGGCGUACUUUGGAAUCACUCCAAGCCUCGGUGUUUUUCCGUUAUCAGUACCAACCGGAGAACCACCUUCAAACAUCAAAUCCAUCGGAUUCAUCCUCAUCCCAAUCUGAAUCUCUGCGAAAAUCGCGUGACGUUUCGUGAUCGCGAAGUCAUGGAGAAACGACGGAGACGUCAUCGAGAAUAUCGGAACGUCUCUUUGUUUUUUCCCGGCAGAAUCAAACCGGAAAAACGUUAAAAACGGUGGAACAGGACCGUACCGGAAAGCGAAAGUCUCUCCGGUUAUUGGAUCGGUUUUGGGAUGAGCUGUCAUACUCAUCGCUAAUUUCCCGUCGAAAUCGUACCGUCCGAUCGUUUCUAUAUCUCCAGAAUCCGUUAAUCGGACGACGUAGGGUAAAUCAGAUUCUCCUAAAGCGAAGAGACGGUUACAGAAGAAAGCUAGACUCGUAUUCGCUAAACCAAUGCCGUUAACCGGAUUAUACUGUCCGGUUAAAACUCUAACCGCCGUUAAAGCUCCACGAGCUACUGACGCCGUUACACCGUUAAAUCCGGAAAACACGUUAGGCAUAACCGGAGCUCCGGUUUGUUUCUCGACGUUGUACUUAUAAGUCUUGACGUAUCUGCUACAGAGAGUGGCUUUACCAUUAUUGAUUCGAAUCGCGUGAAGCAUACCGUCGCCGUCAAAGAGAUGGUAAGGACCACGGGGGAGAAACUGUGGAUUUGGACCGUUACGGAUGUAAGCACCGUUAAGUGACGGCGGAAGAGAACCGUGGAUGAUUUCACAGUCUGUUGGAGGAAGCUCGUCGAGAACAGGCGCGAAGUUAUCGGAGAGAACGUGUUUUGGAUCGACGGACGGACGUGACGGUGGAUCGAUGAACGUGUUGAUUACAUCUUCGACGGUGGUGAAGAGAGCUGUUGCGAGAGUCAUUUCUGGUCGGGGUUUCGCCGGAUAUGAGACUGUGGUGUGAUUGGUUCGGUUGUGGAGUUUUUUAGGUUUGUUACGACGAUCAUUGUUGUCGCUUGGGUUUGAGAUCGGAGUACGUUCUUCGACGACUGCGGAGUUGAUACGGAGGAGGAGAGGAGAGGAAGAUCGGCGGCGAAGAAGAGAGUGGUGAAGAGAGAAUGUGGAGGAGAUGAAGGGAGAAGAAGAAACAGAGUCCAUUGCUGUGUGUUUGUUUUUUACUUUCUUUGCCUCCACGUUUAAGGCUGUGAAGGAAUAUGAGUGUGUUGUGUGGGGCUAUUUAUUAAAUUAUGAAAAUCAAAAUUCAACAAUAGUUGUGUAUUUUUGAAACUCAGAUUUUUUUUUAUUUUUGAUGUGAAACUACUAUUAUCCUUUGGUUCGUUGGUAGUUUAUGUGAAGUUCUAAUCUACAAAUAUCGGUUUUUCUGUUUUGUUAUUUUCACAUACGAUGACAUUAUUUUCCUAAAUAUCAGAGGAAUUAUCUUGUAUUUUAUGUGCUACAAAACAAUUCAUCAACUUAAUUUGACAAAAUUAAUAUCUGAUAGUUUCAUCAAAAUAAUUUGAAUUUGUAUAUUAUUUGUAAGUUUUUAAAGAUAGUUUCAUCAAAGUAUAGUGAAUUCAUAUAUAUUGUCUCGUUCGUGAACAAUGUUUCCCGUCCUGCGUUCUUUAAGCCACUUCAGUAUUAUAGAGUUGUUGACAAACAAAAAUGAAAAAAAAACUAGGAUAAACAUAAUGGCCAUUAGUCAUAAUAUAUAGUAUUUAAUUAAAUUUGAUCGUUUUUUUUUGGUUCACCUACAUUUUGUAGUUUGUUUGUCAAAUAUCAGUUUUUUUUUUUUUUUUUUCAAAGUAUUAGUUAAGAUAUUCUUUAAUUUUGUUAAAUUUUAUGUUUCUUACAUUUCUUACAUAUUUGAGUCAUUUUCAAAAACCGUGUAUGGGGCAUUCUAGCUACUACAAUGAUUUAGCGAUAACAACAAAAAUAUAUUUAUCAAAAAAAAAAAAAGAACGUGAAAUGGGAUUCUUGGUCUGUACGUAGUUGUUGAUGAAAAAGUAAGCUCGAUUAGGCAUACGAGGCCACGAGUGACAGACAUUGCUCGGAAUUUCAGCACCCACAAAUGUGGAAACUACAACAUGUUAAAUAGAAAGAAUAAUGUUUCUUACACCAAGAAUUGUGAUUGUGAGAAGGAUACAAAACUACUAAUACCAAACUAUAAUGUCGCGUUAUAUUAAAGGAGGAAUAAAACAUUUAGUCGUUUUUUUCCGUCACUUUGGUCGGGGAAAUUUUUGUUUUUUUUGUAUAUUUAUGAUUACUAUUCUUGACUACAAAUUAAUUUCGAAAAACUUAUGAAAGUGGAUAAUCAUCAAAAAUAUGAAAGAGAGAAUGACAUGUAAUGGUACAAGUGUUGCAUAUUUGGAAAUUGAAAUUGCCACUCUUUGGGGUUAUGCAUGCACAGUUCAUUUUUAUGUGUUUAUUCCUACGUUGUGAAUUGUGAUCUUCUAGAUAAUAUCGAACUCUCUAUUACUUUUAUUUUUCAAACUAAACUAAUACAAGCUUAUCUAUUGAAAUUAAUUUUUAUGUGAUUUAAGUCUGAUUGAUUAAAAAUUUAAAACUGUAGUUCUUUUUUUUUUUCUUUGGCUUUAAAAGUCCCAACCAAUCCUCUUAGCUAUUUUUUUCCUUUUUUUGGUAGGGACCAAUCUUCUUUAAACAGACAGAACAAAAGUUUUAGAAUUCAGCAAGAUUAUCGUGUUUGGAUAAUUGAAUGACUUGAACCGAAAAAAUCAUUUCCAAAAAUCCAAAUCUCAUUCGGUUUACUUGGUUCUUAACUUGUCACUAAAACCAUGAUCGAAUCGGCUCGUCUUAUAUAAGCUUAGCUGUUGAGGCCCAAAGGGAUAAAACAUUGAAAUAUGGAUUCACGGGAAAGUCAAAAUUUAGCUGGAGGCCCAAAUCCAUUAGAUCUGAUCAGAAAACAACAGUAGAGUUACUACAACAAACAACAAAGCUCCAAGUCUCCUACUACAAAGGUUCUUCAAACACAACAGAGACACCGAGAAAGAAAGAGAGUGAAUUUACAAAUGGAGUAGAGAGAGAGAGAGAGAGAGAGAGAGAGAGAGAGAGAGAGACGUCAAGGAACGGUCAAGCGAUCAGAGCCAAGAGGCUUCAAUGAAGAUAUGAGACGAAGUAGAUGAA